rnacentral:rRNA from 1 species
AGUGAACGCUGGCGGUAGGCCUAACACAUGCAAGUCGAACGGCAGCACAGUAAGAGCUUGCUCUUACGGGUGGCGAGUGGCGGACGGGUGAGGAAUACAUCGGAAUCUACUUUUUCGUGGAGGAUAACGUAGGGAAACUUACGCUAAUACCGCAUACGACCUACGGGUGAAAGCAGGGGAUCUUCGGACCUUGCGCGAUUGAAUGAGCCGAUGUCGGAUUAGCUAGUUGGCGGGGUAAAGGCCCACCAAGGCGACGAUCCGUAGCUGGUCUGAGAGGAUGAUCAGCCACACUGGAACUGAGACACGGUCCAGACUCCUACGGGAGGCAGCAGUGGGGAAUAUUGGACAAUGGGCGCAAGCCUGAUCCAGCCAUACCGCGUGAGUGAAGAAGGCCUUCGGGUUGUAAAGCCCUUUUGUUGGGAAAGAAAAGCAGCAGGUUAAUACCCCGCUGUUCUGACGGUACCCAAAGAAUAAGCACCGGCUAACUUCGUG